rnacentral:rRNA from 1 species
UACGUAGGGUCCGAGCGUUGUCCGGAAUUAUUGGGCGUAAAGAGCUCGUAGGCGGUUUGUCACGUCGGAUGUGAAAACUCGGGGCUCAACCCCGAGCCUGCAUUCGAUACGGGCAGACUUGAGUUCGGCAGGGGAGACUGGAAUUCCUGGUGUAGCGGUGAAAUGCGCAGAUAUCAGGAGGAACACCGGUGGCGAAGGCGGGUCUCUGGGCCGUAUGACUGCGUGAGACGCGAAAGCGUGGGGAGCAAACAGG